rnacentral:rRNA from 1 species
UACGGAGGAUGCAAGCGUUAUCCGGAUUCAUUGGGUUUAAAGGGUGCGCAGGCGGAGAGAUAAGUCAGUGGUGAAAAACUGCCGCUCAACGGUAGUCUUGCCAUUGAUACUGUCUUUCUUGAGUAUGGAUGAGGUAGGCGGAAUGUGCAGUGUAGCGGUGAAAUGCAUAGAUAUUGCACGGAACACCAAUUGCGAAGGCAGCUUACUGGACCAUUACUGACGCUCAGGCACGAAGGCGUGGGGAU